UACGUAGGAGGCGAGCGUUGUCCGGAGUUACUGGGCGUAAAGGGUGCGCAGGCGGCGGUUCGCGUGGAUAGAUGAAAUCUCCUGGCUUACCUGGGAGGAUGGUAUCCAGACGGGAUCGCUUGAGGGUCGGAGAGGGGCGUGGAAUUCCGGGUGGAGCGGUGAAAUGCGUAGAGAUCCGGAGGAACACCAGUGGCGAAGGCGACACGCUGGGCCGUACCUGACACUGAUGCGCGACAGCAUGGGGAGCAAACAGG
rnacentral:rRNA from 1 species